CCUGCCUCCCAGAGGCAUAGCAGGUGUGCUUUUUUUUCUGCCAACUGAGUGUCAGUAGGAGGCAAUGAAGAGAGGCUAUGUCUUUGCUCAGCUCAUUGUCAUGACCUAUGAGCAUCUGAAUGAUUAGUAGCCUAACAUU
rnacentral:snoRNA from 1 species